rnacentral:rRNA from 1 species
CGUGCUUAACACAUGCAAGUCGAACGAUGAACCACUUCGGUGGGGAUUAGUGGCGAACGGGUGAGUAACACGUGGGCAAUCUGCCCUUCACUCUGGGACAAGCCCUGGAAACGGGGUCUAAUACCGGAUACUGACCCUCGCAGGCAUCUGCGAGGUUCGAAAGCUCCGGCGGUGAAGGAUGAGCCCGCGGCCUAUCAGCUUGUUGGUGAGGUAAUGGCUCACCAAGGCGACGACGGGUAGCCGGCCUGAGAGGGCGACCGGCCACACUGGGACUGAGACACGGCCCAGACUCCUACGGGAGGCAGCAGUGGGGAAUAUUGCACAAUGGGCGAAAGCCUGAUGCAGCGACGCCGCGUGAGGGAUGACGGCCUUCGGGUUGUAAACCUCUAAAUCACUACCCAGGUAGCGUGACGGUACCUGCAGAAGAAGCGCCGGCUAACUACGUGCCAGCAGCCGCGGUAAUACGUAGGGCGCAAGCGUUGUCCGGAAUUAUUGGGCGUAAAGAGCUCGUAGGCGGCUUGUCACGUCGGUUGUGAAAGCCCGGGGCUUAACCC